UACGAAGGGGGCUAGCGUUGCUCGGAAUCACUGGGCGUAAAGGGUGCGUAGGCGGGUCUUUAAGUCAGGGGUGAAAUCCUGGAGCUCAACUCCAGAACUGCCUUUGAUACUGAAGAUCUUGAGUUCGGGAGAGGUGAGUGGAACUGCGAGUGUAGAGGUGAAAUUCGUAGAUAUUCGCAAGAACACCGGUGGCGAAGGCGGCAUCCUGGACCGGUAUUGACGCUGAUGCGCGAAAGCCAGGGGAGCAAACGGG
rnacentral:rRNA from 1 species